rnacentral:rRNA from 1 species
UGCAGUCGAGCGGAUUAAUGGGAGCUUGCUCCCGUUAAUUAGCGGCGGACGGGUGAGUAACACGUGGGCAACCUACCUGUAAGACUGGGAUAACUUCGGGAAACCGGAGCUAAUACCGGAUGACACUGAGGAACUCCUGUUCCUUAGUUGAAAGAUGGCUUCGGCUAUCACUUACAGAUGGGCCCGCGGCGCAUUAGCUAGUUGGUGAGGUAACGGCUCACCAAGGCGACGAUGCGUAGCCGACCUGAGAGGGUGAUCGGCCACACUGGGACUGAGACACGGCCCAGACUCCUACGGGAGGCAGCAGUAGGGAAUCUUCCGCAAUGGACGAAAGUCUGACGGAGCAACGCCGCGUGAGCGAUGAAGGCCUUCGGGUCGUAAAGCUCUGUUGUUAGGGAAGAACAAGUGCUAGUUAAAUAAGCUGGCACCUUGACGGUACCUAACCAGAAAGCCACGGCUAACUACGUGCCAGCAGCCGCGGUAAUACGUAGGUGGCAAGCGUUGUCCGGAAUUAUUGGGCGUAAAGCGCGCGCAGGCGGUUUCUUAAGUCUGAUGUGA